rnacentral:misc_RNA from 1 species
CAAAGGACUCUGCGUUCAGCUGAAGUUUAUGACCCUAACAAGAACCGGUGGAGCUUUAUUUCAGAUAUGAGCACAGCUAUGGUGCCAUUUAUUGGUGUAGUUUAUGAUGGAAAGUGGUUUCUAAAAGGGCUUGGGUCCCAUCGUGAGGUCAUGAGUGAAGCAUAUGAACCUGAAACUAACAGCUGGACUCCUGUUAGUGAUGGGAUGGUUGCUGGUUGGCGCAACCCUAGCAUCUCUUUAAAUGGACUGCUCUAUGCUUUGGAUUGCAGGGAUGGCU